ACUACGGAGAGUUUGAUCCUGGCUCAGGACGAACGCUGGCGGCGGGCCUAACACAUGCAAGUCGAACGAGAAGCUCCAGCUUGCUGGAGUGGAAAGUGGCGAACGGGUGAGUAACGCGUAGGCAACCUGCCCUCAGAUGGGGAAUAACUAUCCGAAAGGAUAGCUAAUACCGCAUAACAUCUUCUGACCGCAUGGCCGGAAGAUCAAAACCCUGGUGUCUGAGGAUGGGCCUGCGUUGGAUUAGGUAGUUGGUGAGGUAACGGCUCACCAAGCCUGCGAUCCGUAGCUGGUCUGAGAGGAUGAUCAGCCACACUGGCACUGAGACACGGGCCAGACUCCUACGGGAGGCAGCAGUGAGGAAUAU
rnacentral:rRNA from 1 species